UACAGAUUAUCUUGAAUGUAGAUAGAAUGAAAAUAAUGUAAAUUAUAAUGCAGGAAAACUGGCAUCGACUUAAUAUAUUUUAAUAGGUUUACAGUGUAAUUUAAAAUAAUUUAUGUAACUAAGAUAUUUGGUUUUAACUCCAUGGGCUCUUCAUUGGCCUGGCUAAGGAGGGAAUGGGUUCAGUAAGGUUUGGGAAAUCGAACAUUAAGAUGGUCUUUGUGUUUCCUCUAACCAGAGAGGUUUAGUUCAGCUGUGCUGUUUUAGUUCCUAUCAGUUCUCUUGAUUUAUGGAAAAUUCAAUAUAUCAAUUAGAUAUUCUUGCCGAAGCACAGAAUCAUGCCAUGUGAGAAUUGGAACGGGACCUUAGAGAUGAUCUAUUCUAAUCUCUUUGUUUUAAAGAUGAAACUAAGGCACAGAGAAGUUAGAUGACUUGUCUGAUGUUUUAGCUAGUUAGUAGUAAGUAAACUGAAAACGUAAAAGUUACUGUAUUCCAAAAUCUUAAUAUACGCUCUCUCUAAACCUUUACGUUUACUGAGUCAGUAAGAAAGUCUCUGCAUAUUUUUCAUUCUUUUUGAAACGGAAAAAAGCUUCUAUAAGAGCUAGAACUCUAGCAGUCAAGGCAAAGUUUCUUGUAGAAAUCAACUAAAUCAUUCAGAACCCUGAGUGAAUUUUCUCCAAGAAAUGUGAUUUGAUUAAAAUGGUUUCUAAGAGCGAUAGUAGAAAUUAAAAUUUUAAAAGAAUAACUACAUCUGGAGUCCAUUUAUUUGGUGAUAUGAAGGUUGCAGAGGUAUAUAAAACUUUCUAGUGAAAUGCUGAGUUUGAUUGUGUUUCAUCUUGGUGUUGCAGAACAACAGAUGUUAACGUUUUAAGUCCCGUGGUGUGCAGAAAGCUCCAAUCAUGACACCUGAUACAUACAUCAUAUAGUUUGGUUUUAUAAGUUUAAUUAUAAAAGGCCUCAAAAUAUGCAUGUUUAUGAAAAUAGUUAUUUAAGCACACAUUUGUUUGCACAUAGGCAAAUAACUUUAUUCUUGAAUAACAUAGGUGCCAUUCUUGAGUGUGGAUUUUUAUUUCAUUUUGGAUUAUUUUAAAUAUGCAAACACCUUAAUAGUGUGUUUUCCUGUUAUCUACUUGGGAUAAGUCUAGUUCCACUUUUUAUAAGUAUUUUCAGAAACAAGAUGGGCUUAAUUAUAUUAUCUCCCUUGGUACUUUUUUUGGUGCAGAUUCUUAGAAUUGGAUUUAUAACAAUAAUAUAAAGGAUAAAAUCUUUUUUUUUCUGGAGAAUUAAGACAUAGUAAAAAGGGAGCAUAUAAAGUGAGUCCGAUCAUUUCCCAUUCAUAAAUGAAAAGAAAGAGACUUCAUUGUUUAAUGUAUAUUUUUAUUUUGUCAUGUACCUUAUUAAGGGAUAUUUAUUAUAUUGUAAUGUUUUAACUUUUAAACAUAUGACCCCCUCUUUCAUGAAGUAAAGCAGAGAGGGUCUGUAAGGAACAUGCUAAACAUUUUCAGUGAUAUUGUUUUCGCUGAUCAAACCUGUUGUGCCAUAUUAAAAUUAAAAGUCAAGUAAACCAAGUAGUCCUCACAGCCUUGGACAGAGACAAAUAAUUGUCUUUUUAAAUGAGGUGCUUUUUAUUUGUGAAUGAGUAGAAAUACUAAAUUUUAAUUCCUCAAUUGAUUUUAGUGGAUAGCAGGAAUCACUCUGUAGUGGGUUUGUUCAUUUUCUAAUUAAAUUUCUUUGAGUGUUUUGUAAUAAUUUUAAUGUUAAACAUAAGAGUUAAAAUGAUUUGACUUUGGACCAUUUUUAGAUUUGUCUUUAAUUUUGUUGUAGAAAUAGUGGAUUGGUUAAAGUGGUUAUGGUUUGUUUUCUGAAGGCUUACUAUUU
rnacentral:lncRNA from 1 species